CAUCAACCUGUUGCCUCGCAAGAUACCUUUCCCUUCUUUCUUUCCAUUCGUCUAUAACAAGACCUUCCCCGACAAUCUUUGGACCUGUAUCUUCUGGAGGCCUUUUGCGUGCCUCGACUUCAGCCUCAGCUUCAGCUAGCUGGCGGUUAAGUUUCUCGAGUGCAGGGCAAGGGCGUUCAGCAUCAAGGAAAACAACACCUAAUACUUGUUCAACUGCCACUUCAUCCCUCCUUUCGUCAAACAGCUCCGGCACAUAAUCCACGUCGUCUUUUACUUUUAAGCUCAUAACUUUGAACUUUACCCUGCUCUUCUUGCCAAUUUGUUUGUCGUUAUUAUCAGG
rnacentral:misc_RNA from 1 species